rnacentral:rRNA from 1 species
AGUGAACGCUGGCGGUAGGCCUAACACAUGCAAGUCGAACGGCAGCACAGUAAGAGCUUGCUCUUACGGGUGGCGAGUGGCGGACGGGUGAGGAAUACAUCGGAAUCUACUUUUUCGUGGGGGAUAACGUAGGGAAACUUACGCUAAUACCGCAUACGACCUACGGGUGAAAGCAGGGGAUCUUCGGACCUUGCGCGAUUGAAUGAGCCGAUGUCGGAUUAGCUAGUUGGCGGGGUAAAGGCCCACCAAGUCGACGAUCCGUAGCUGGUCUGAGAGGAUGAUCAGCCACACUGGAACUGAGACACGGUCCAGACUCCUACGGGAGGCAGCAGUGGGGAAUAUUGGACAAUGGGCGCAAGCCUGAUCCAGCCAUACCGCGUGGGUGAAGAAGGCCUUCGAGUUGUAAAGCCCUUUUGUUGGGAAAGAAAAGCAGCAGGUUAAUACCCCGCUGUUCUGACGGUACCCAAAGAAUAAGCACCGGCUAACUUCGUG